rnacentral:rRNA from 1 species
UACGGAGGGUGCAAGCGUUAUCCGGAUUCACUGGGUUUAAAGGGAGCGUAGGUGGGUUGGUAAGUCAGUGGUGAAAUCCCCGAGCUUAACUUGGGAACUGCCAUUGAUACUAUCAGUCUUGAAUACUGUGGAGGCUAGCGGAAUAUGUCAUGUAGCGGUGAAAUGCUUAGAUAUGACAUAGAACACCAAUUGCGAAGGCAGCUGGCUACACAUUUUAUUGACACUGAGGCUCGAAAGCGUGGGGAUCAAACAGG